rnacentral:ncRNA from 1 species
UUGAGCCGUGUGCGAUGAAAGUCGCAAGCACGGUUCUUAGGGGGGAGGGGCUCUGGUAACAGGCCCUUCCUACCCUCC